rnacentral:tRNA from 1 species
GAUGAAGUGGCUGAGGUAUAAGCGAUAAAUUGUAAAUUUAUUCACGAAUUAAUUUCCUUCAUCG